CGCGUAGGAAACUACCCAGUAGUGGGGGACAACAGUUGGAAACGACUGCUAAUACCGCAUACGCUCUACGGAGGAAAGGGGGCUUCGGCUCUCGCUAUUGGAUGUGCCUGCGUGAGAUUAGCUAGUUGGUGGGGUAAAGGCCUACCAAGGCAACGAUCUCUAGCUGGUCUGAGAGGAUGAUCAGCCACACUGGAACUGAGACACGGUCCAGACUCCUACGGGAGGCAGCAGUGGGGAAUAUUGCACAAUGGGCGCAAGCCUGAUGCAGCAACGCCGCGUGCGGGAAGAAGGCCCUAGGGU
rnacentral:rRNA from 1 species